rnacentral:rRNA from 1 species
AGUGAACGCUGGCGGUAGGCCUAACACAUGCAAGUCGAACGGCAGCACAGUAAGAGCUUGCUCUUACGGGUGGCGAGUGGCGGACGGGUGAGGAAUACAUCGGAAUCUACUUUUUCGUGGGGGAUAACGUAGGGAAACUUACGCUAAUACCGCAUACGACCUACGGGUGAAAGCAGGGGAUCUUCGGACCUUGCGCGAUUGAAUGAGCCGAUGUCGGAUUAGCUAGUUGGCGGGGUAAAGGCCCACCAAGGCGACGAUCCGUAGCCGGUCUGAGAGGAUGAUCAGCCACACUGGAACUGAGACACGGUCCAGACUCCUACGGGAGGCAGCAGUGGGGAAUAUUGGACAAUGGGGGCAAGCCUGAUCCAGCCAUACCGCGUGGGUGAAGAAGGCCUUCGGGUUGUAAAGCCCUUUUGUUGGGAAAGAAAAGCAGCAGGUUAAUACCCCGCUGUUCUGACGGUACCCAAAGAAUAAGCACCGGCUAACUUCGUG